ensembl:lncRNA
AUGAAACUCAUUUUCAGUACACAAAAGGCUUUGGGACAGCAAAUUUCUUUAAUUUUAACAUUCUCUCAGUAUCUGCUGCUUGACCAAAUAGAUAUAUUCCAACAAUAUUGGCUACAAGAUAAAUUCUAUUUUGCUCUUGCUUACAUUAGAAUGCUGAGGAUGUGUUCCCAUGAGUUUCUCCCUCCUUGUACCCCACCGAAUGGAAUGUUAAAAAUACGGAGAAAGCAAUUUAUGCAGAUGAAGUCCCAACUCUGGCCAUGGCCAAUAUUAGCUGGAUAAUUCUUUGAAUCUGGCUAAUGUGGAAUCUUGCAAGGACAAAGAGGAUUUGCUCAUGAACUGGUAAGAGAGGUACUGGUCAUGCAUGCUUAAAUGUGCUAAUAGUUCUGGUCUUUAAUGGUACCGACUUAAUGAAGAUGAUGUUAUGCAUUUUUAAUUGUUCGCCUAUGAUUCGACAUUAGCCAUGCCUUUCUAAUAUGAAGAUUUGUUGGCCAGAACUGACAUUAGCUGAAAGUGGAUCCUUAACUUGUCAGUUCCUCCCACAUCUUCCUUGCCUUUGUUUUCCCUAGUGCCUUUCAACUGAAUUGAUGAGCCCUAUCUGCAGACCCAGAUCACCCCCUAACCCUUUCCUAAAUCAAUGUUUAAAAUGGCAGAAAAUAUAUCAACAACCUCAGACUAAUUUAACAGGGCUUGAAACACUGAGCCGGGAGUGAGCUUUGUGCGUUCAUUACACCCCUGAAUUGCAGUGCUCCUCGCCCCCUUUCUAGGUUACUUUUGCUCUGUUCUCCCACUGUGCAGUUUGGUAAUUUGGCCUUGUUUCCCUCUAGGACUAACUCCCCAUGCAGAACCUUGCCUAACUCCUGCCAAACUUUUCUUCCUAGACUCUGCCCUAGCCCAUUUCUUUGAUACCUUAUCAGUUGGCAAGAUAUGGACAUAUCAUGAUGAUGAUGCACACUGUGCUUCACUUCUGGGUUGAAACCUUUCUAGAAGUUCUUGUUACUGAGUUGGCUCUCCUCCCUCUGACUAUUAUUUGAGGCUAUAAACACUGCUCUAGGUAUUCCCAACUGUCCUGGCUGAGAUCCUGCUCUGCAAACUGUGGUCAGAUUCCCUCAAAACCUAUUCUAGUUAAUGGGUCUUUGCUUGGUCCAACUUCCUCUCCCCUCAUGCAUUGUGGCUGAAUCCAUCUAUGAUUUGUCUUUGUAGUUGAUGUGAGGGUUUCUGCAAAAAGCUCUAUCUCCAAAGUCUCCAUCUAUGAUACCUGAAAUUUCUUGCUAUUAGAGAUUCAGUACUUUGACAUAGGAUAUUUUCUAUAGGUAAUGUCUGUAAGAAUGCAUAUAUUCCAGGUGUCUCAGGGUGUUCUAGGUUAAGCUGUGGUAAUGAGUAAACCCAAAUAUGUAAUAGCUCAAUAUAAUAGUUUAUUUCUUGCUCACAUAGCAAUCCUGUGUGGGUUCUCAAGUCAGCAGGGUGGUUCUCCUCCCCACAGUCAUUUUGAGAUUCAGGUUUUCCCCAUUUUGUGGCCCCUCAAUUCCCUAGGGCCUCUUUGGCAUCUAUACACAGCUGGUGGAAGAAAAGAGCCAGACUGGAGUAAGACCCUUUUCUUAAAAGCUUUGACCUGAAGGUGGCGCCCUGUACGUAUUCUCACAUGCCAUUGGUCAAAAUUCAAUCACAUGUUCACAUCUAAUUGCAAGGGAGGCUGGGGAAUGUAGUCUAGUCAUUUUGCCAGGAAAAAUAUGGGAGAAUAGAUUUAGGAGGACAGCUAACAGUUGCUGCCAUACCAAAUAAGGAUAACAUGCUAACCCGUUUUCAGUCUUUAAUGCCCUAACACAGUUUGGCUAAUUAAAUUGCUAAUAUCUUGGAAAACAGAUGACGAAAUAACAGGAUAUGAGCUAGGUCAGGAGAACAAAGUAGAGGAGUGUAGAGAAUACAUAGCCAAACAUAGUUCAUUGAAUGGAAAGGUCAGAUUUCCUUGAGGUGAAAAAUUUGCAGAGAUAGUGAGAGGUGACAACGUGCUAGCAGCCCUAGCUUGCUCUUGGCGCCUCCUCGGCCUCGUGUCUGCUCCAGCCGCACUUGUGGAGCCCUUCAGCCUGCCGCUGCGCUGUGGGGGCCCCUCUCUGGGGCUGGCCAAGGCUGGAACCGGCUCCCUCUGCUCACGGGGAGGUGUGGAGGGGGAGGCGCAGGAGGGAGCCGGGGCUGUGCACGGCACUUGCAGGCCAGCACGGGUUCUGGGUGGGCACGGGCUCCACGGCCGGCCUCGCAGCCGGUCCCGCAGCCGGCGCCUGCUGGGCUUGAUCAGGGAAGAGCUCCCUCUGGGCUGCCGGACUGCCCGGGCUAGGAGCCGCAAAGUCCUGCAGCGAGUGCCAGUGAGAAGUAAAGCUGGCUGGGCUUCUGGGACGGGUGGUUAUUUGGAGAACUUUUCUAUCUAGCUAAAGGAUUGUAAAUGCACCAAUCAGUGCUCUGUGUCUAACUAAUCUGGUGGGGACUUGGAGAACUUUUGUGUCUAGCUAAAGGAUUGUAAACACACCAAUCAGCACUCUGUCAAAACGGACCAAUCAGCUCUCUGUAAAAUGGACCAAUCAGCAGGAUGUGGAUGGGGCCAGAUAAGGGUAUAAAAGCAGGCCACCUGAGCCAGCAGGGGCAACCUGCUCUGGUCCUUUUCCACGUAGUGGUGGCUUUGUUCUUUUCCUCUUCCCAAUAAAUCUUGCUGUUGCUCACUCUUCCAGUCUGCACUGUUUUUAUGAGCUGUAACACUGCGAAGGUCUGCAGCUUCACUCCUGAAGCCAGCAAGACAACGAACCCACCAGGAGGGACGAACAACUCUGGAUGGGAAGAAUGAACAACUCCGGAUGUGCCGCCUUUAUGAACUGUAACACUCACUGUGAAGGUCUGCAGCUUCACUCCUGAGGCCAGCAAGACCACGAACCUACUGGAAGGAAUGAACAACUUCAGACGUGCCACCUUUAAGAGCUGUAACACUCACCGCGAAGGUCUGCAGCUUCAUUCCUGAAGUCAGUGAGACCAUGAACCCACCAGAAGGAAGAAACUCUGGACACAUCUGAACAUCUGAAGGAACAAACUCUGGACACACCAUCUUUAAGAACUGUGUAACACUCACCACGAGGGUCCGUGGCUUUAUUCUCAAAGUCAGUGAGACCAAGAACCCACCAAUUCUGGACACAAUAGGACUCUUAGAAAGUCAGGGGUUAGCCUGAGCACGGUGGCUCAUGCCUGUAAUCCCAGCAUUUUCGGAGGCUGAGGCUGGUGGAUCACUUGAGCCCAAGAGUUUGGGACCAACCUUGGUGACAUGGUGAAACCUCAUCUCUACUAAAAAUACAAAAAUCAGUCAGGCAUGGUGGCGCCUGCUUGUAGUCCCAGCUACUAUAGAGGUUAAGGUGGGAGGAUUGCUUGAGCCUGGGAGGUGGAGGCUGCAGUGAGCCAUGAUUGU